UACCAUUGUAUGACACUAACUUGCUUCCUUCUGUUUUUGAUGCUGGAUGCUUGUCGGGUUUAUGUGUUUCCUUCAGCUGUUAUAAGAAAUAAUCAGAAGGGUAACAUAUGAGCGGUUGGCUGCAUUCUCUAUGAGUUGAUUUCUCUAAAAAGACCCUUUAAGGCUGAUGAAAGAAUUUCUAGAUUCAUCAUAUAUUUGAUAAUUUCAUCACAGUGUUUAGGUCCCCAGCCGCUACUAAAGUGUCUUCAGCAAAGUCAAGCUCAUUUGAAUAAGACUCAUCACAAGGAAAAUGGUGUUUUGUUCUUCCUAGGAAAAUAGAUUUCCGGCUGUCUUGGUUAUUUAUCUGAAACUGAUACUGAUAAAUCCUUACAUUGCUGGGGCCAAUGUCCGGAAUCGCUGAUAGAGGCGAAAGAAGCUAAAGAUUCCUACAAACCUCGAGUCACCUCGUACUUGCGUGGAAAAUUUCUUUCUGCCAUUGCGUGCGACAGCGAAAACUGCAGCAUCCCCGAUGAUGAUACCUCCGAAAAUUGAACAACGGACGAAAUUGAACCUUCUCUUUUUCUAUUUGUUGAAAUUGAGAGCAAAAUAUUGUCUUUUAAGAUAAAUAAAUACCUUUGUGCUGAACAGUAAAGUAAGAAAAAACAACGUCAAAAAAAAGCAUAAAUUGCCAAUUACAGCAGACACGUGUUUCGGCGUUACAGGGAAUGCCUUUUUCAAUGCAAAAAGUAAUGAGCUUAUGGAUGAAAAGACAUCCGACAAA